CCCCCGUGGAUCCAGCAGAGGGUGUGGGGGGCCAGGCAGUGGAGCUUGGAGCGACUGCGAGGGCUCGGUUGUGAAAGACCAAGUGUUUCCUCUAUGGUUAGCAAAGCCAGAGACUGAUUCAUCUUUGGACAAAAGGACAGUGUUGGCAGCAUUUUCUUCAAGUUAUUCACCGUGAGUUAUAGUGUGUUCAACUUUACAAGGUGUCUUAGUUGAAGUUUUGACAAUUGAGAAAUUGAAG